GUGAGGAAUAUUGGUCAAUGGGCGGAAGCCUGAACCAGCCAAGUCGCGUGAAGGAAGAAGGAUCUAUGGUUUGUAAACUUCUUUUGAAGGGGGAUAAAGUGGGUUACGUGUAACCCAUUGCAGGUACCCUUGGAAUAAGCAUCGGCUAACUCCGUGCCAGCAGCCGCGGUAAUACGGAGGAUGCGAGCGUUAUCCGGAUUUAUUGGGUUUAAAGGGUGCGUAGGUGGCUUUUUAAGUCAGCGGUGAAAACUGGCGGCUCAACCGCAAGAGUGCCGUUGAAACUGGGGAGCUAGAGUAUGAACGAGGUAGGCGGAAUGUGUGGUGUAGCGGUGAAAUGCAUAGCUGUCACGCAGAACUCCGAUAGCGAAGGCAGCUUACCAGGCCAUAACAGACACUGAAGCACGAAAGCGUGGGGAUCGAACAGGAUUAGAAACCCUAGUAGUCC
rnacentral:rRNA from 1 species